AUUGAACGCUGGCGGCGUGCCUAACACAUGCAAGUCGAGCGGUAACAGGUGUAGCAAUACAUGCUGACGAGCGGCGGACGGGUGAGUAACGCUUGGGAAUCUGCCUAUUAGUGGGGGACAACCCGGGGAAACUCGGGCUAAUACCGCAUACGCUCUACGGAGGAAAGCCGGGGACCGCAAGGCCUGGCGCUAAUAGAUGAGCCCAAGUCGGAUUAGCUAGUUGGUAGGGUAANGGCCUACCAAGGCGACGAUCCGUAACUGGUCUGAGAGGACGACCAGUCACACCGGAACUGAGACACGGUCCGGACUCCUACGGGAGGCAGCAGUGGGGAAUAUUGGACAAUGGGCGAAAGCCUGAUCCAGCGACGCCGCGUGGGUGAAGAAGGCCUGCGGGUU
rnacentral:rRNA from 1 species